rnacentral:rRNA from 1 species
ACGAAGGGGGCUAGCGUUGUUCGGAAUUACUGGGCGUAAAGCGCACGUAGGCGGAUAUUUAAGUCAGGGGUGAAAUCCCGGAGCUCAACUCCGGAACUGCCUUUGAUACUGGGUAUCUCGAGUAUGGAAGAGGUGAGUGGAAUUCCGAGUGUAGAGGUGAAAUUCGUAGAUAUUCGGAGGAACACCAGUGGCGAAGGCGGCUCACUGGUCCAUUACUGACGCUGAGGUGCGAAAGCGUGGGGAGCAAACAGGA